ACUGUAAACAGCUGAAAUGACAAUAAAAGCAAACCACGUGACUUGAAACGGGACAACUCUACAACACGCAUUUUAUUUUGACAAAUGAUAAAAGACUCACAAAGUCGAAACUCAAGUGAGAAAUGCAGCUGAGCAGAUCUCAUGAGUGGAUCUCCAGCUUAGCGUUUCCGGGCCAGAGAAGAAAAGGGGCUUCCAUAACUAAGACUCAUACAGUAUAAUGCCGUAUCAGAGGAGGGAGCCCAUGAGGACCCUGAGUUCAGAGGAGAAAAGGAUGAGAGCAGCUGCGAGGGGCAUCACAGUCCCUGUCUCCCUGUAACUCCCCAACACAUGACUCAGUGAUGAUUCAUUUCACACAAAGCUGUUGAAACGCUUUGAGGAUACAUUUUUUUAAUCUGUUUUCUUUCUUAUACCUUUUUACCGACAUGUACCUGAUAACUAAUGCCAGUGAUUUGAUUAAUGUUGUGUCGAUAUAUUAAUUGACGAUUAGGAUUCAGUCUGUUUGUAUGAUUUUAAGUACCCACGCUAGUGUGUAUAAUGUCUUCAUUUCACCUCUUAAAUGGGGUGAAGAUUUAUUUAGAUUAAUAAACUCGUCAUUUCUGUUGUGCUUCUCCUUCUUUCCCGACAUGUUUGAGCAUCCUACACGCUGGCAGAGGUUAUGCUUGACUGUGCUGCCACCCAGUGGUGGCACACCGACAACUACAACUCACCCCAACAUGCUGAGCACUGGUACAGGUUUGAAAAAUAGUAGCCUUUAUUUUCUAAUGGUGGUAUUUACAGGUGGUGUGGCGUGCUGUCCUGUUACAUGUCGUAAAGAACAUAGUAAAAACAUGAUGAACACAUCAGGCAAAGAAAGCAGAGCCAAAAAAAAAAAACAAAUUAACUACUGAUGUUGGGAUAUGGACAAGAUAAAUAAU